rnacentral:rRNA from 1 species
AAUGGGGGCAACCCUGAUCCAGCCAUGCCGCGUGAGUGAAGAAGGCCUUCGGGUUGUAAAGCUCUUUCGGCGGGGAAGAAAUGGCAACGGCUAAUAUCCGUUGUUGAUGACGGUACCCGCAUAAGAAGCACCGGCUAACUACGUGCCAGCAGCCGCGGUAAUACGUAGGGUGCGAGCGUUAAUCGGAAUUACUGGGCGUAAAGCGUGCGCAGGCGGUUUCGUAAGACAGACGUGAAAUCCCCGGGCUCAACCUGGGAACUGCGUUUGUGACUGCGAGGCUAGAGUACGGCAGAGGGGGGUAGAAUUCCACGUGUAGCAGUGAAAUGCGUAGAGACGUGGAGGAAUACCGAUGGCGAAGGCAGCCCCCUGGGUUAGUACUGACGCUCAUGCACGAAAGCGUGGGGAGCAAA